UUUUUCUCUUUUCUUUCCUUUUCUCUGUUUUUCUUCAAACCUUCAUAAACCUCACUUCACAUGGGUUGAUUAAAGACGAUUCUGUGUUUAAGGAGGUGAAAUCUUACAAGGGUUCGUUCUUGAGGCCGUGGGGAAACUAUUGGUGGUAUUUUUGUGCGAUUUCAUCAACAAAUCUACACUAGGAAGAUUUACGCCGGUUUGCGGGGGAAGCUUACUGGCUGAUCCAAUUCACAAGACAAGGAAUCGACAAUGAGUCUCGUCGUCGAGCGCAGUAUCACAUCCCUACAACGCAUCGUAGUUCCGAAACAUCUGACGGCCUCUUCAAUUCAAGUCAGGAAGAACAGACAUUUUUCAGCAUUUAUACGCAGGUGUAUCUUUGUCGGAAACCCAACACCGUCACAAGCGUCCGACUGCAGACCCAUCCGCAUCGACUGCUUAUUACUUCCCUUAUGUUGUUGAGAGUAACGUUCAUGUAGAUCCCAACCCUUCAAUAACGCAUGCCUCGCCAAAAUAUAGUGAUUUACCAAACUCUAGUGAGUUUCCAGGGAUGAGCUUGGAUGGUAGUUGGCAGGAUCGUAUUUAUGGUAGUGGUCAGAGAGUUGAUGAUGGUGCUGAUACGGACUUUGUGCCAAAAAAUCAGUUAUUUCCCUCUAUCUAUUAAAACUUGUUACAAUGGUGUUGAUUAGAAAGGGUGUAGUAGUUGUUUGUUACUUUUUUCUUUUUUGAUAUAUUUAGUUUCUCCUAAUAUAAGCUGGACAUUGUAUUAUCCA